rnacentral:rRNA from 1 species
GUCCACGCCCUAAACGAUGCGAACUGGAUGUUGGGCUCAACUUGGAGCCCAGUAUCGAAGCUAACGCGUUAAGUUCGCCGCCUGGGGAGUACGGUCGCAAGACUGAAACUCAAAGGAAUUGACGGGGCCGCACAAGCGGUGGAGUAUGUGGUUUAAUUCGAUGCAACGCGAAGAACCUUACCUGGUCUUGACAUCCACGGAACUUUCCAGAGAUGGAUUGGUGCCUUCGGGAACCGUGAGACAGGUGCUGCAUGGCUGUCGU